UACGGGGGGGCAAGCGUUGUUCGGAAUUACUGGGCGUAAAGGGCUCGUAGGCGGCCAACUAAGUCGGACGUGAAAUCCCUCGGCUUAACCGGGGAACUGCUUCCGAUACUGGAUGGCUUGAGUGUGGGAGAGGGAUGCGGAAUUCCAGGUGUAGCGGUGAAAUGCGUAGAUAUCUGGAGGAACACCGGUGGCGAAGGCGGCAUCCUGGACCAUUACUGACGCUGAGUGAGCGAAAGCCAGGGAGCCAAGCGGG
rnacentral:rRNA from 1 species